UUUUCAUUUCUUCUUUCUCUACUUAAACUCUAUUUUGUUUCUGAACAAAACAUUCACCUUUUUUUUAUCAAAAAUCUCUCUAAAUUAUAUGAAUCCCUUGAUCAUCAUUGAACACUGAUUGCUAAAGAGUUCAUUCUUUGAUUGCAAACAUGUCUUUGAUUGAAAUCAGAGUUUAUUUUCUUGAUCAAAGACUCAUCUACACAAGUGUUUACCAGUUCAUAGAUUCUCACUGAAGUUCAUCAUCCAUUUCGACAUCAUCCACAAUUCCAUCAUCAUAUAUCCUUCAAACCAUCAGAUCAUCCUUCAAAAGAAUCAGGGACAAACGAAUCCUUCUAAAUCAGGGGUUCAUCUGGUGGUAUCAGAGCAGAUUUGAAGGCUCUUGAUCUAGGGUUUGAAUCUAAACUUUUCGAAUUACCUCUUAAUUUUGGGAACCUUGUAUUGAUCUGUAUGUUUCUUUGAAUCUGUUUCGUUCUCUUUUCUGUCUAUCUGUUGAAUCUGCAAGAGGCCAACCAGUAAUAAAAAAAGCUCAUAGAAAAGUCAAGGAGAAAUCCGACUUAGGCUAAAGAGAAAUCCAGCCCUGGUGAUAAAGCCUUUUGCAAACAAAAAAUCUUGCAAUCUGGCUAUCUUCUCUUCUCUUUUGGGGUGGGGGAUUUUAUCUCAAAAGCUUGAUCUUUAUUCUUUGCUGAGCUAUUGGAUUCACAAAAGAAAACUCACAGAAAAAUUAGAGAGAAACAUAAGAGAGUAGUGAGGCUUUGGCUAUUUUUGUUAUUCUAACUUUUCUUGUUGAGAUUGUAAUAGGAAACCAUGGCUGGAGAUGUCAAUAAAAGAAAGGAGGCACCAAUGACUUUUAAUAAAUUGUAGAUGGAAGCAAUAGUGUCUGAGAUCAUUAAAAGAAUGGAAAAGACUGUUUUUUUUUUCAAUAGAAACAUGCUAAUGAUUUCUUUGGUAAUGUUUCUCAGGUUCAGAAAGAUGCUAAUGACAAAAGGAGGAGUAGAAUACCAUCUUUUUGUAGUUACAGGAAGCAAGAAGGUUAGAUUGGCUACAUCAAAGUUCUGUGGUGAUGCCAUUCAAUGGUGGGAUCAGCUUGUUACUAACAGAAAAAGGACAGGAGAAGCACAAGUUGCAUCGUGGUUUGAGCUUAAACACUUCAUGAAGAAAAACUUUGUUCUUGUAACUACAGCAUAAGACAUCCGAGACAAACCAACGAAGAGACCAGACUUUUCCAUAAUUGUGAUCAGCCUAGAAAGUCUUAGUCACAUAAGCUAAGAAGACCAACCCCACGUUCUCUCGAGAGAGCCAAUGAGCCACUGUACUCUAAGAAGGAAUCAGCUAUCCAAGAGCUGAAAACAGAGCCAUCUAAGUGGCCUUCUUUCAGUGUCUCAUAUCGUAGGAGAGAACUCAGCAGAAGAAGCACAAAAGAGUUCACCACCAGAAGAAGUGUUGGAGCAGCCAGAUAAGCAGAAACAUAUGCUAAGUCUUUCUCUUCGGACGCUCAAGAGCACUGUAAGGAUCUUGAUAUGGUUAAUUCUAUUCCUGAAAUGGUUGUUAUGGUUAGUUCCAGUGAUGUAAAAUGUUUCGGUCUUGAAAAUGUGAAAGAGUUUUGUGUUUCAAACUCUGUUUUUUGAUAACAUGAUACAUUCUUUUAAGAAACUUAAACCAUAUAAACUUCUUGAUCAAAAACGUUUUUCAUGUGGUAGUGACAUCAAUCCUGGUUUUCUUUUGAGUUUUGGUCAGUUUUUGGAACAUAACAAAAGCCUUGAUCACCUUGAAAAGACAUUAGAGGUUGUUCUGCAACAACCUGAUUUCUGUUUCAGAAAACCUUGAGAUUUAUUUGCUUGCUUAAAGAUAAUGGCUUUGAUCUGAGUCUUUCUAGGCAUGAACUUAUCAUUGAUGAUUUGUUUCCAUCUGUUUAUGCCUUGAACAAACCUAUGAAGUUGCAGGAACCGAAAUCACUUAGGGCCGAAACUGAAUUUCUUUAUAAUUUUGUUUUGAAACCUGUUCAUUCUUGUUCUUAAAAUGAUAAAUCUUGGUUUUUAUGGGAUCAUUCUUGCAGAAUGAUGUUGUCUUGAGCUUUGAUGAUAUAUUAGUGUACAACACAUUCUUUGAAAAUCAUGCUAAACCUGAGAGACAUGUGCUAACAGAUCUUGAACUUAAACUUUUGUGUUUUGUAUCUGAUCAAGUUGGACACGUUUUGGAGAUGAUCUAUGGUAUUUCAUGCCUUGGAAACAUUCUGGUUUGCAACACUUUCUUUGUUUAUUAUACUGAGCCUUGGUUAAGUAAUUCUCAGUUUGAACUUGAUCUUUUGAGUUCUGAAUCUGAGGAACUUGUGCUUGUUCUGAAAUUGUUCUUUAGGAACUAUGCUAUCUCGUGCUUUGAUACCAUGGUCUACAAUACUUACUUUGAUGUGCAUUUUGAAUGUCUGAAACAAGCACAACAUGUUCUUAGAAAGAAACACUUGGUUAUUGAUCAUAAUAAGAACAUGUCUUGCCUAUAUGACACUGGAUAUCUAGUCUCUGUUUUGAGUGUCCAGGAUCAAUAUGUUCAAUCUCAAAGGAGUGUAAGGAACGAGAGCAAACACUAUGCUUAUCAACCUGAGAUUUGGAGAUGGAAGUACUUGAGGAAAAUGGCUUCAAAACUCCAAGGAAGUUUCUGUUCAAAACCUUAGUUUGAUGUUGAUUUCAUGCUUAUUUUCUUGAUCAUUUGUCUCGCUUCUUACUUGUUUCCUUUUGAUGUAGGAGAUACAGAUUUGAGGACAAAUCUUUUCAAAGGAGGACGGGAUGAUGUAACCAUGGUUGAACCAGAUGACUAUGCAACAAAGGAUAAACAAGGAUGGCUGAAUGUAAAGCUUGAAGAUGAACCUGAGGCUUGAGUGGAGCAUGAUGAGCUUAUUUCUCACUCAAGUGACUAAGAACAUGUAAAACAAGCUGUAAAAGAUGUGAUCAGAACGAGUUUAGACUUUUCUCAGCCCAAAAGAAGACCACAAACCAAAAAUAUUGAAGGAAGCAAUGACUUGUUUGGUUUA